AGAGUUUGAUCAUGGCUCAGGACGAACGCUGGCGGCGCGCCUAACACAUGCAAGUCGAACGAGCGAGAGAGAGCUUGCUUUCUCGAGCGAGUGGCGAACGGGUGAGUAACGCGUGAGGAACCUGCCUCAAAGAGGGGGACAACAGUUGGAAACGACUGCUAAUACCGCAUAAGCCCACGACCCGGCAUCGGGAAGAGGGAAAAGGAGCAAUCCGCUUUGAGAUGGCCUCGCGUCCGAUUAGCUAGUUGGUGAGGUAACGGCCCACCAAGGCGACGAUCGGUAGCCGGACUGAGAGGUUGAACGGCCACAUUGGGACUGAGACACGGCCCAGACUCCUACGGGAGGCAGCAGUGGGGAAUAUUGCACAAUGGGGGAAACCCUGAUGCAGCGACGCCGCGUGGAGGAAGAAGGUCUUCGGAUUGUAAACUCCUGUUGUUGAGGAAGAUAAUGACGGUACUCAACAAGGAAGUGACGGCUAACUACGUGCCAGCAGCCGCGGUAAAACGUAGGUCACAAGCGUUGUCCGGAAUUACUGGGUGUAAAGGGAGCGCAGGCGGGAAGACAAGUUGGAAGUGAAAUCCAUGGGCUCAACCCAUGAACUGCUUUCAAAACUGUUUUUCUUGAGUAGUGCAGAGGUAGGCGGAAUUCCCGGUGUAGCGGUGGAAUGCGUAGAUAUCGGGAGGAACACCAGUGGCGAAGGCGGCCUACUGGGCACCAACUGACGCUGAGGCUCGGAAGUGUGGGUAGCAAACAGGAUUAGAUACCCUGGUAGUCCACACCGUAAACGAUGAUUACUAGGUGUUGGAGGAUUGACCCCUUCAGUGCCGCAGUUAACACAAUAAGUAAUCCACCUGGGGAGUACGACCGCAAGGUUGAAACUCAAAGGAAUUGACGGGGGCCCGCACAAGCAGUGGAGUAUGUGGUUUAAUUCGACGCAACGCGAAGAACCUUACCUGGUCUUGACAUCCUUCUGACCGGUCCUUAACCGGACCUUUCCUUCGGGACAGGAGUGACAGGUGGUGCAUGGUUGUCGUCAGCUCGUGUCGUGAGAUGUUGGGUUAAGUCCCGCAACGAGCGCAACCCCUAUCUUUAGUAGCCAGCAUUUCAGGUGGGCACUCUAGAGAGACUGCCAGGGAUAACCUGGAGGAAGGUGGGGACGACGUCAAAUCAUCAUGCCCCUUAUGACCAGGGCUACACAUGUGCUACAAUGGCGUAAACAAAGGGAGGCAAAGCCGCGAGGUGGAGCAAAUCCCAAAAAUAACGUCUCAGUUCGGACUGCAGUCUGCAACUCGACUGCACGAAGCUGGAAUCGCUAGUAAUCGCGAAUCAGAAUGUCGCGGUGAAUACGUUCCCGGGUCUUGUACACACCGCCCGUCACACCAUGGGAGUUGGUAACGCCCGAAGUCAGUGACCCAACCUUUCAGGAGGGAGCUGCCGAAGGCGGGACUGAUAACUGGGGUGAAGUCGUAACAAGGUA
rnacentral:rRNA from 1 species